rnacentral:lncRNA from 1 species
GUAUUAAUUACUCGAAGCAUAGAUUGGCAAAAUUUGAACGGACACCUGACAUGUGGUGACUACAGCUCCUGCCGCUGAUUUGGUAGUUAAUGCCAGUGGCAGACAAAUCAUGCUCUGCACCACUAUCGGAGAGACAUGGGAGAUGUGCGGUGGUACUUAUUAUAUAUGGGUGAUUAAAAUUUUAGUCUUUUCAAAAACCCUCAUAACGGAUGAUGAAGACUUUUGGUAUGCCAUUGACCUC